rnacentral:lncRNA from 1 species
UCUUCUUCUCCAUAUUCCCUUCUUUUCUUUUCUGCAUUAUUGACUUCCAUCACUGGCUGAAGAUCAUGGUAUUGGGUACUAAUUUUUAACUUCUUACAUAAUUCCCAUCUUACAAAAAUCUUGGAGCUUCAUUUUAGUUCCAUUGUUCAGGAGAAUACCAAUGAAGACUUGGAUCUGAAAAGAAAUUACAAGCUUCAUCUGCAGUGAAGAAAUUAUGUUCUUCCAUCUUCACGUACUGGUGGGGUUGAUAGCUUGUUUUUGUGAAAUUGAAGCAAUCCAUGGAGGAUGUUGGUGACGAAG